rnacentral:rRNA from 1 species
CUUUGGAAUUUUUUAUUAAAAUGAUUAUUGUUUUUUAAUUUUGUAUGUUUAUUUUUUACCUUUUGUAUAAGGAGGAUUUUAUUUAUAUUAUUUUUUAGUUUUCGGAAAAUUAAUAUUUAUUAUUUUAAAUAGUUGAAUAUUUGAUAAAUGAAAGUUAUAUUCUUUUGAUUAUUUUUUUUUAAUUUUUUGUUUUAGUCGUUUGAUUAUAUAAAGAUAUUUUAGUUUGGCUUUAAAUUAAUUUUUAUAAAAUUAAUUUGAUUGAUUUUUUUAAAAUGGAUUUUGUUAUUUAAUAUUAGAAUUGUUUUAUUUUAAUUUGAAUUUUGAGAAUUUUUUAGAUAAUUUAAUGGUGAGUUUAUGAGUAGAAAAAUGAUGAUAAUUUUGUUUUAUAUAAUUUUGUUUUAUAAUGGAUUUUUUUGAUUUGUAUUUUUGUAGUUCUUUUAUUUACCAAAAUUAUUGUAAUGUAUUUAUGUUAUGUCUUCUGCUCAAUGAUUUAAAUGGCCGUAGAUUUCUAUGCUAAGGUAGCAAAAUCAUUUAUUUAUUGAUUGUAAGUUUGAAUGAAUGGGGGAUGAAUUAUUUUUUGUUUAAUUGAAUUUUUAAAUUGAAUUGUAAAUGAAAAUUUUUAUUUUAAUGGAGGGACGAUAAGACCCUAAAAUUUUUAUUUAUGUUUGAUUGGGGUAAUUUUUUAUUUGAUAAUGUUUUUAUUCAAAAGAUCUAUUUAAAAUAAUAAAUGGUUUAAAUACUUUAGGGAUAACAGGAUUUAUUAUAUUUUGAGUAUGAAUUGAAGUAUAUAUGUUACCUCGAUGUUGACUUUUCUAGUUAUAGAAAUAGAAGUUUGUUUAGGUAGUUUGUUCAACUUUAAUAGAAACGUGAGUUGAGUUCAAAUCGGUGUGAGCCAGAUUGGUUUUUAUCUUUUUUUAAUUUUUAAAUUUCUAGUACGAAAGGAUGGAUGUUUGAUGAAAAUUUAUA